CGGGACUCGUUCUCCUUCUGCUAUUCAGUCUGGUUUGGGACCAGAGGGUCGCAAGUUCGAAUCUUGCUGCCCCGACCA
rnacentral:tRNA from 1 species